ensembl:lncRNA
AUUAGGAAGCUGUUGAAAUAAUCUAGAUGAGAGGUGAUGAGCGUCUGAACUGAGGCGGUAACUUAGUGGAGAGUGGCACAGGAGUGCAUUGUGAAAGCUGUCACAGAGGUAGGGAGAACAAGAUUUGCAAGUGGCUGGCUCUGUGGGAUGAGCAAGAGGGAGAAAUCAAGAAUAAUCCUGAGGUGGCAAAUGUGGAACACGGGAGGAUGUUUCUGCCAAGCUCUUAGGCAAAGAAACACGUGUGCAGAUCUGAGGAUGUUGGAAAUACUGGCACUAUUGGCUGAAACACGCCAUGAUGGAGGACAGAGGACAUUCUGGAAUAGCGAUGACGUUCUCCUUACCUGUCACAGAUGAGGCCUGAGAUCAGUGGCUUCAGUGAAAUCUUCCAGUAGCAAUUAAGAGCCCUCCACUUCUAAUGAAACCCUGUCUGUGUGCAUAUAGGUGUGUGUGUGUUUCUGUGUGCCUAUAUUUUCAUUUUUAAAUUGUCUUAGUGUCUUUUGAUUUAUUUUGUUUUAUUUUUAUUUUGUUUUCUUUUUUAUUUCACCUUCAUUUCCCAAUAUGUUCCUUCCCCCUUCCUGGAGAGACAUCUCUUGUAACCAAGAAUGAAAAAGAGAGGUUGGAAAAAGCAAUUUAGCAAAACCAGUUAAUACAGAAAUCAAGGCUGCUAAUCUAGGGGGUGAGGAACCCCUUUCUACUGUUAUUGCCACAAGCAAUGGGCCUUUUGAUCCAGCUAGUGAGGCUGGCUGGUAGGGGGACUGCCAUCACAUUCACCUGUUUGAGAAUGUCCCCAGCUGUGAGAGCUCUGAAAGGCACUAGCAACAAUGAGUCUCUUUCUUUGAAGGUUCCAAUCCCUUGGUCAACACUGUGGCUGGCGGGGCCUGGGUGACAUUUCCUGGACAAACACGAGGACUUGGAGCCAGGCCCAACACAUAACUCCUUGGGCAAAUAGAGGGCCCUGCCAGGCCUGCUAGUGUCCCCAGGGUCUGGGCACUCUCCCAGUUGUCAAAAGUCCAACAGGUUGACAAGUACACCUAAGUGUGUGCUCACUUUGUUGGAGUGUAGAUACCCUUUCCACUUACAGGCCAAAAGCCUUGUCUGCUUCCAACAUGUCUCUGUAGACCUGGCUUCUGGUUCCAACUCUAUUAGCUAAUUAGUGGUCUAAUUAGCUGCAGUCACUUUACUCCUCUGAUCCUCAUCUCUAAAAUGGGAUGAUUAGAUGAUCUCCGAUGCGUCUUUAAGGUCUAUUUAAAUGUCUAAAACCAAAUGCUAGGACUAUUGAUGAUGUAGGAAUGCUAAAAGUCAUUCCAAUCGAUCCUGGGGCUAAGCAAGGGUAUUCUCUCUACCUACUAGUGUUCGAAAUAGUUCUAGAAGUGUUGGUAUUAGCAAUAAGACAAGAGAGAAAAGUUGGAGGCAUAAACAUUGGCAAAAAGGAGACAAAAUUAUUAUAAGCAGCACUUGGUAUGAGUUUACUUAGGAAACUAUGGGAAAUCAGCAAAAAAGCUAAUUUAUUCAAUUAAUAAUUCCAAUAAAAGUCAAACAUAAAUCCA